rnacentral:tRNA from 1 species
GCCAACGUAGCUUAAAUAAAGCAUAAUGCUGAAGAUAUUAAGAUGAACCCUAAAAAGUUCCGCAGGCA